UGGACUUCCUGUUCGUUCGGGUCAUACCGGUGAGAGUGGGGUAAAAAUUGUCAAUGUGGUUUGAAGUGGACAAUGGUACUCCCCAGGGAAGUGAGGUUAGUCCGAUGUUGUUCACCCUGAUGAUAGAUGACAUAUUUAAGGUGGGACAGGGAGUGGGUCUAGCCUUGUAUGCUGGUGAUGGGGCUGUAUGGAAGAGAGGUGGGAAGGUGAAAUAUGUGAUGAGGAAGAUGCAAGAAGCUGUGGGAGCUGUGGAAGAUUGGUCUCUAACAUGGGGGUUUAGGAUGUCUGUGGCCAAGUCCUGCUUUAUGGUGUUUUCUAGGAGGAAGGUUACAGAUGUUAGGCUGCAAAUAUACGGUCAGGAUAUAGGUAGGGUGUCUGAGUUUAAGUAUUUAGGUACGUGGUUUAAUGAGAGGCUUACUUGGAAGGGACAUGUUUAGUAUAUGGAAAUUAAGUGCAGCAAGGCGCCGCACCUCAUGGGGGCAGUGGCAGGAUAUGAUUGGGGGUCGGAUAGGCGAACACUGUUGUAUAUGUUUCAGGAUUUGAUCAGAUCAUCUUUCACGGUCAUUGUUUGUUUAUUGUUUUUGAAGUUUCACUUUAAUAAAAGAUAUGGAACUCAACUUACGCUGCGCCUUGGUCCGUCCUUUUCGACGAUCGUGACAGAUAGGAUACAGUCAAGGGUCCUGGGAUUGUGUGUGGGUGCCUUCAGGCCGACACCUGUUGAGGCAUUGCAGGUGGAUAGUGGGAAACUGCCACUGAGGAAAAGGCCAGACAAACUUGCAUUAGCGUACUGGGCGAGGUUGAAAGAGAGUUCAGAAGGACAUCCUGCGGUCACGGCAACUGGGGAAUGUUGGGAGCAAGGAGUGGGCAAGCAGAGGGCAUACUGGUGGACAAUUGGGUAGAAUAUGGACUGGGGGAGAGGGAUAGGGCCUGCAAUUGCAUUGGGGAACAUUCCUCAGUGGCUGUUUCUGAAACAAAGUAUAGAUGUGGAUAUGACUGAGGGUGGGAGAGAAUGGGAUGAGGACGUGAGAUGUGGUGUGGAGAGAUAUAUAGAUAAUAGUUUUUAUUAGUUUUUAAGGAUUCAGAUGGUUCAAAGGAUCCAGUCAGUGGUAGGGUGGGGGCAGGGGUGUAUAUCCCAGAUUUCAAUGUUUGAGUAUGUAAGCGGUUAACUGAUUGUGUCAGUUUAUGCAGCCGAGUUGAUGGCCAUAAUUAUAGGUUUGAAAUGGGUGGAGGAGGUGAAACCACUCAGAGUGGUGAUCUGCUCUGAUUCGACUGCAGUGUUGAGUAGUGUGAAGACGAGCAGGUCGGAUAGUGGAGACUUGUUUGUGUAAAUGAUGGUGCUGUUAAUGGGAUGGGAGUGGUGAUAAGCUUUUGCUGGGUUCCCGCCAACGUGGGUGUGGAGGGUAAUUAGAAGGCUGAUGUGAUGACUAAGAGGGCAGUGAGGAGAGAGGGGGUAGAUAUUCAGUUCCCGUUGGGCCGUAGGGAAGUCAAGUCCUUGAUUCGGGCAAAAGGGCUCGAUCUUUGUCAAAGGAAGUGGUAUGCUAGUAGUAAGGGGAGGCAAUUUUAUCGCAUUCACCGGUCAGUUAAGGAAGAGGUGGGCAGUAUGGGAUGUAGGAGAGAGGAAGUUGUGUGGAGUGGACUGCGGUUUGGACACACCAGGUUUGAAUGCCACGUUGUGGAUGAUAAGGAGACAUGAAACAGGUCUGUGUGAUGAGUGUUAAGUGGAGGAAACUGUAGAGCAUGUGUUGAUAUUUUGUGAACUGUAUGACGUUGAUAGAGAGAGAUUGUGUGAAAGGGUUAGAAAGGCUGGACGGGGUUUGGGUGGUGUUGUGAGUCAAAUCAAACCAAAGUCAAAGUCAAAUCAAACCAAAGUUCAGUGUCACAUACGCCGAAUACAACAGUGAAAUGCUUACUUAAAGGCUCUAACCAAUAGUGCGAGAAAAAAAAGAAGAGUUGUGUGUGUGUAAGAUACUAAUGACGACAUGGUCCUGAAAGCUCAGGAGACUGCUGAGGGGAGGACAGCUCAUAAUAAUGGCUGCAAUGAAGUGAAUGGAAUGGUAUCAAACACUUUUUCGAUACCUUUCCAUUAAUUCCGUUCCAGCCAUUACUAUUACCAAAUAAGGUGCGACCAACCUCGUGACCCUGAAAGUAUUUCUCCCACCACCAGUUUCCCGUGUGCAGAUACGAAAGACGACCUGAUCUUGAGACUGAUUCUCCCACCACAAGUAACGAGUUGGAAAAAAGACUGCCUGCCCAAGCUUUGAUGAGGCCUGAAAGUCAUAUUGUACCGUUGCAACCAAUAUGGCUGAAUAUCUUCGCCAGGCGACCAAAAGGACAAGAGGAACCGAACCCUUUGCUCUGACUCUCGUGUGACAAUCACCCCUACUCCAUGGCAUUCACUAUCAUGAGCAGGCUCUGGAGCAGAGGACAUUAUGUUUAGCUGUUUUACAAGAAUUCAUAUGGAAAAUGGAUACCUGGUAGGGGUUUGGGGGAGUAAAGGGUAAAGUGUUUACUUUUCUUCACCCCCUUUCCUCAGCUUUAAUUGCUGGGGCUCCUGUGAUUUUUGAAAUGAUGGAUUGUGCUAAAGUUUUUAUUUGUGUGUUCCUUAUUUGUUUAUCCUUUGCAUGACUUCACUUUGGAGCUGAAAUGAAUCAUUCAAAAUACACAUUUUGUAUUUUAUCUACAAUUUGUCAUGAUUGGCCAUAUGUCAUUUUAAGAAUUUCAUCGACUGUGUCGAAAUGUUGUAACAUUGAUUGUUAUGGUUAGACAUAUUUUGUACAUUUAGAGAAUUAACAGGUUCUGUAAUAGAGAAGUAGAAAAAUAACCCAGCAAUAAAGUAAGAAAUAACCCACGGCUGGGUCAAAAAUACAAAAAUAAAAAUAACCCAGCAAAAGAGUAAAAAGCAACCGACUGCUGGGUCAAAGUAAUCGCAUUUUGUGGUAAAUCAAGAAACCCAACGUGUUGGGUCAUUCACGUAACCCAACAGUGCUGGGUCAUUCACGUAACCCAACAGUGCUGGGUCAUUCACGUAACCCAACAGUGCUGGGUCAUUCACGUAACCCAACAGUGCUGGGUCAUUCACGUAACCCAACAGUGCUGGGUCAUUCACGUAACCCAACAGUGCUGGGUCAUUCACGUAACCCAACGUGUUGGGUCAUUCACGUAACCCCAACAGUGCUGGGUUAAAAUAGUUUUUGUGUGUAGGGAAAAGGGAUGACUAUGACAUUGAACCUCUGUAGAUAAGAUAUACUGUAGGUGUAUGUUAUUCCCAACCUUAAAAGUUUGGGGGAUAUUAAUGUUUACAUAAGGAAGAUGACCUUGGAUUAAAACCUCUACAGGAUUGGUGGUUCCCCCACGGGACGGUCGAGCUAACGUAGGCUCAUGCGAUUAGCAUGAGGUUGUAAGUAACAAGAACAUUUCCCAGGACAUAGAAAUAUCUUACAUUGGCAGAAAACUUCAAUUCUUGUUAAUCUAACUGCACUGUCCAAUUUACAGUAGCUAUUACAGUGAAAGAAUACCAUGCAAUUGUUUGAGGAGAGUGGACAGUUAUGAACUUAAAGUUAUUAUUAAACCAAUUAGCCACAUUUGGGCAGUCUUGAUACAAAC
ensembl:lncRNA